CAACAGACCAGGGUCCCUUUCCAGAGUAAUGGAGGAGCACCGUGAUUUUUUAAUCCAAAAUUCCCAGAUUGGAAUGAAAUGCUCUGGAAAGGCUCUGGAAAUCAUUUGGUGUUCACAAUCAUCAAUGAAGAUGUUCACCAGGAAUUGCUGAUCACUGGCCUCCAGCUGGAUGUUGCACUCCUGAUCACCACCCCGGCCAGCAGAUUUCAACCAGCCUGCUGUCUGCUCAUCCAGCCCAUACUUCAUGGGCUUCUCUGUGAGGGAGCCCUGUCUGUGUCCACUAGUACACACAUUCAUUUUGAUUUUAAACAAUCAAACAGAAGUGAGAGUUUUAAGAGCAGAAUUAUUUUUCAAAGGGAAAUAGAAGGGUAUGGCUUUGAUGGAACGAGUGCCUUCAAGCUCCACUGGCAGGCACUGUUUGAAAACUAUUUGGGUGAUUUUGGAUAAGAAA